rnacentral:rRNA from 1 species
CCUACGGGAGGCUGCAGUGAGGAAUAUUGGUCAAUGGACGAGAGUCUGAACCAGCCAAGUAGCGUGAAGGAUGACUGCCCUAUGGGUUGUAAACUUCUUUUAUAUGGGAAUAAAAUGUUCCACGUGUGGGAUGUUGUAUGUACCAUAUGAAUAAGGAUCGGCUAACUCCGUGCCAGCAGCCGCGGUAAUACGGAGGAUCCGAGCGUUAUCCGGGUUUAUUGGGUUUAAAGGGAGCGUAGGUGGAUUGUUAAGUCAGUUGUGAAAGUUUGCGGCUCAACCGUAAAAUUGCAGUUGAAACUGGCAGUCUUGAGUACAGUAGAGGUGGGCGGAAUUCGUGGUGUAGCGGUGAAAUGCUUAGAUAUCACGAAGAACUCCGAUUGCGAAGGCAGCUCACUGGACUGCAACUGACACUGAGGCUCGAAAGUGUGGGUAUCAAACAGGAUUAGAUACCCCUGUAGUC